GGGCGGCCCGUUAGAUAUCCAUAAGCAGAAGCGGCAUAGCCAGCCGAUUGUUCGUUAUGAAAGGCGAUGAAUCGAAUUCCCAAAGAAACUGCGCGAGUAGCCAGAGAGGUAACAGGGAUUCCGACGACGCCGAACAUCCGGUCGACGCCGCAGCGAGCCAGCGCCAUGGCGGCGAGAACGUUGCCAUCGAUCGGACCGUGAAAUUUGAGGUCAUUUUGAAGAUCUUCA
rnacentral:misc_RNA from 1 species